rnacentral:rRNA from 1 species
UGGGUGAAAGCCUGAUGCAGCCAUGCCGCGUGUGUGAAGAAGGCCUUCGGGUUGUAAAGCACUUUCAGCGAGGAGGAAAGGUUAGUAGUUAAUAACUGCUAGCUUUGACGUUACUCGCAGAAGAAGCACCGGCUAACUUCGUGCCAGCAGCCGCGGUAAUACGAGGGGUGCAAGCGUUAAUCGGAAUUACUGGGCGUAAAGCGUGCGUAGGUGGUUUGUUAAGCAAGAUGUGAAAGCCCUGGGCUCAACCUGGGAACUGCAUUUUGAACUGGCAAGCUAGAGUUUUGUAGAGGGUAGUGGAAUUUCCAGUGUAGCGGUGAAAUGCGUAGAGAUUGGAAGGAACAUCAGUGGCGAAGGCGGCUACCUGGACAAAGACUGACACUGAGGCACGAAAGCGUGGGGAGCAAACAGGAUUAGAUACCCUGGUAGUCCACGCCGUAAACGAUGUCAACUAGCCGUCUGUAGACUUGAUCUGUGGGUGGCGUAGCUAACGCGCUAAGUUGACCGCCUGGGGAGUACGGCCGCAAGGUUAAAACUCAAAUGAAUUGACGGGGGCCCGCACAAGCGGUGGAGCAUGUGGUUUAAUUCGAUGCAACGCGAAGAACCUUACCAUCCCUUGACAUCCAGAGAAGAGACUAGAGAUAGACUUGUGCCUU